AGUGAACGCUGGCGGUAGGCCUAACACAUGCAAGUCGAACGGCAGCACAGGAGAGCUUGCUCUCUGGGUGGCGAGUGGCGGACGGGUGAGGAAUACAUCGGAAUCUACUUUUUCGUGGGGGAUAACGUAGGGAAACUUACGCUAAUACCGCAUACGACCUACGGGUGAAAGCAGGGGACCUUCGGGCCUUGCGCGAUUGAAUGAGCCGAUGUCGGAUUAGCUAGUUGGCGGGGUAAAGGCCCACCAAGGCGACGAUCCGUAGCUGGUCUGAGGGGAUGGUCAGCCACACUGGAACUGAGACACGGUCCAGACUCCUACGGGAGGCAGCAGUGUGGAAUAUUGGACAAUGGGCGCAAGCCUGAUCCAGCCAUACCGCGUGGGUGAAGAAGGCCUUCGGGUUGUAAAGCCCUUUUGUUGGGAAAGAAAUCCAGCUGGCUAAUACCCGGUUGGGAUGACGGUACCCAAAGAAUAAGCACCGGCUAACUUCGUGCCAGCCGCCGCCGUAA
rnacentral:rRNA from 1 species